ACUGCCUCCGUCAUCAGGGUGAUGAAUAUUCAUACUCACCGCUGUGAAAACCUCAAAUCUUACAAAUGAUUAUUAGAUGGUGCUGACAGUAGAUUGGUGAAGAAAAAGUAUGAAUAAUGGAUUGGAAAGGAUAUGGGAGACAAAGCAGUUGUGGCCUAAUGGAAGGUACUAUCCUGACAUCUGCCUGGAAGGACUGAGGGAAAUAUGGAAAACCUCAGUCAGGAAAGCUGGUCUCAGGGCCAAAAUUUGGACCCAGGAAGCUCCAAGACAUGAAGUAAUGAUCACAUAGUUUUGACAUUUGGUUCAGUGAUCAUGAGUUUUAACAAUAACAAUAGAAACUCAAAUUAAAUUGCAUUAGAAUUUUUCCAGAACUGCUGGUUAUCAUGUCCAUAGUAUGUGUAAGGAUAUGUCCACCAAAUAAAAAAAUAAUGCAUAAACUG